rnacentral:rRNA from 1 species
AGUGAACGCUGGCGGUAGGCCUAACACAUGCAAGUCGAACGGCAGCACAGUAAGAGCUUGCUCUUACGGGUGGCGAGUGGCGGACGGGUGAGGAAUACAUCGGAAUCUACUUUUUCGUGGGGGAGAACGUAGGGAAACUUACGCUAAUACCGCAUACGGCCUACGGGUGAAAGCAGGGGAUCUUCGGACCUUGCGCGAUUGAAUGAGCCGAUGUCGGAUUAGCUAGUUGGCGGGGUAAAGGCCCACCAAGGCGACGAUCCGUAGCUGGUCUGAGAGGAUGAUCAGCCACACUGGAACUGAGACACGGUCCAGACUCCUACGGGAGGCAGCAGUGGGGAAUAUUGGACAAUGGGCGCAAGCCUGAUCCAGCCAUACCGCGUGGGUGAAGAAGGCCUUCGGGUUGUAAAGCCCUUUUGUUGGGAAAGAAAAGCAGCAGGUUAAUACCCCGCUGUUCUGACGGUACCCAAAGAAUAAGCACCGGCUAACUUCGUG